rnacentral:rRNA from 1 species
AAAUUGAAGAGUUUGAUCAUGGCUCAGAUUGAACGCUGGCGGCAGGCCUAACACAUGCAAGUCGAACGGUAACAGAAAUCAGCUUGCUGAUUUGCUGACGAGUGGCGGACGGGUGAGUAAUGUCUGGGAAACUGCCUGAUGGAGGGGGAUAACUACUGGAAACGGUAGCU